UUCACCUCAUGACCCGAGCCAGAGUUCAUCCUGGACGAUCCUCAGCCUGAACUAGAAUGAUGCUAUGUAAUAUUAGUCAUUUAUUUAGUGCUUUUUAUCAAGGUCAGUUACUGAUAUCACAUCUGAUGAGUCUUAUGCCAUAUUUGAAUAUGUUUGAAUGUGAAUGAGAUUUUUAAACUGCAGCAGAGAGGAAGCAUUUCAGGAGCUCAGCAACAUGACUGUUCCUGUUCAUUUUUGUUGUAUGGAUUAGAAAAGUGUGAACGGUCAUGAAAAUGAUCCAUAGAAGAAAGAAAAUCAGAGAUUUGGAAUGACAUGAUAAUUGCAACACAUGCCAAAUGUGUAGCUUCAUCACAUCAAAACACUGGGAAGGAGUGAUUAGGAAUGAUUUUGGGUCUUUCCAGCAACCACCCAUUGCCGUCUUCCACCGAUGACCCAGCGAGGGGCCAGACACGAGAUGAUUGUUUGUGGCAUUGAUGUAACGUCUAGAACAGCUUCAGUCUGUAAUUAUCUGAAGUGCUCGUGAAGGAGACAGACAUGGUGAAGAUGAAUAUUCCCCGAGCAUGUGGCACGAAUCUGAUGUACGGUCGUCUCUACGCCCACCUGGUGAAGCUGUAUCAACCCUAAAAGCAUUCAGAAAUUUUCAUCACUGAAGGUCGUACAGUGAAUCAUCUCAGUUUUGGUUCAGUUUCUCCACCCUGAGCAUUAAACAACAGCAGUGUUUAUGUGGUGAACUCCUGCGUGUCAUGUUGCAUCAAAUAUUCUAGUCUGUUGUAGUACUCAGAUAUAUAGUUGCAGGACCAAUACUUAUUUAUACUGUAAUUUUACUGAGCUUAUGUCUUGUCUUUACUUUCAUUGCAGGUCUCGGGUUUCACGUGGUGGUGGUGGUUAGUAAUAGAGAUGCAUACUAGACACUGGGUUAUGAGAUGUAUGCUUUGUUCUAAAGCCUUAUAAUAGAUACACAAAGGCUAUUUCAAAAGCUCACUACUCCAUUUGUCACUGGUAGAGUUGAGAUGGACUGCCGCCCCAGAGUUCAUCCAGGAUCCUGUUAUCAGUGACGUCCUGAUGGAUCAGUGGAUUGUGUCUGGUCUUCACCGAUGACUGUAGGAAUGUGUCUGAUGAAGAACAGGAGUGAUGCUGCACAGACGGACAGAGGCAGUGUUGCUGUCUGAUGAGUGUGAAAAUGAUUUCUGUGGACAGAUCAUAAAUCCAACAUCACAAAACAUUCAGAGGUCAACCAGCCUAGAAGAACAAUCCUCAAUGAAAAAGACAAAUAGAUUUCUUUAAUAUUUCCUCCAGAGUUUUAAAAGUGAAGUCUCACAUUAUGCCCAGAAUUGAGCUGCAAUCAAAAAUAGAGAUGUUGAUCUAAACACAAUGAUUUCUCAUCAAAUUCCUCAAGAUAAAAUGAUCUGAGCUGCUCCACAUUCACUUUAUAUCUCUGUAAUCUUACUGUAUGACAACUGUUGACUCACUUCUGUCUUUUAGUUUGGGGAUUUUAGGAGUUGAUUAUUAAAUUACACAUCAAAUUACAAAACCUAAAUAAGAUGAAACACAAUAACUCAAUAAUCAGUGGU